rnacentral:rRNA from 1 species
UACAGAGGGGGCAAGCGUUAUUCGGAAUUAUUGGGCGUAAAGGGCGCGUAGGCGGCCUGGCAAGUGGAAGGUGAAAUCCCUCGGCUUAACCGAGGAACUGCCCUCCAAACUGCUUGGCUUGAGUCCGGGAGAGGUGAGUGGAAUUCCCAGUGUAGCGGUGAAAUGCGUAGAUAUUGGGAGGAACACCAGUGGCGAAGGCGGCUCACUGGACCGGAACUGACGCUGAGGCGCGAAAGCGUGGGGAGCAACGGG